GAUCGCCCUCUCCUCCCACCUCAGCCGCCAGGGCCUGCUGACUCCAUCUGUGGCCCACCCCAGGCCCGAACCAGCCGCUGCUCGCGAGCGAGUUCGCAUCGUCUCCUGCAGGAGCUCGCGUGCAAGCCCCGCGCGUGAGAGCUCCGCGCCAAUUCCUGCUCCUCCCCCGUGAACCAGCGCCCGUGCUGGUCGACGGCUGGCCGCCGAAGCGCCACCGCCGACCAGGAUCCUGGAACAUCGUUGCAGCUCGUGCACCUCGCCAUUGGUCGACUCCACCUGUGUCGCUGUCAGAUCCGCCCCCUAGCACGUCCCCGGCCCGCCUUCAUGGCUCGUCCAUCGCCGCGGUAGAUGCUGGCACUGCUACAGCCUCCCUGCCUCGUCCCGAUCGGAUCCUCGGGGCCGAGCAUGUAUCCCACUCGCGUUCACUACUCAGCCUUCGUGUGGGCCACGCAAAGGACCAGUUCACCUGCGACCGGCCAGCACUACAGCACCAUCGCCCCGGCUGGCCCGCCUUGCCUUAUCAAGGCCGAGCUCACCCCGGCCCAGCUCAGCCUCGAUCCACCCCGACCUGCCCCAGCCUGCUACCCUAAAUAGGCCAAGCCCACUAGGU